rnacentral:rRNA from 1 species
ACGGGUGAAUAACACGUGGGAACCUUCCUCGUAGUACGGAACAACUCAGGGAAACUUGAGCUAAUACCGUAUACGUCCGAGAGGAGAAAGAUUUAUCGCUAUGAGACGGGCCCGCGUCCGAUUAGCUAGUUGGCAGGGUAACGGCCUACCAAGGCAACGAUCGGUAGCUGAUCUGAGAGGAUGAUCAGCCACACUGGGACUGAGACACGGCCCAGACUCCUACGGGAGGCAGCAGUGGGGAAUCUUGGACAAUGGGCGAAAGCCUGAUCCAGCCAUGCCGCGUGAGUGAAGAAGGCCUUAGGGUUGUAAAGCUCUUUUAGCAGGGACGAUAAUGACGGUACCUGCAGAAUAAGCCCCGGCAAACUUCGUGCCAGCAGCCGCGGUAAUACGAAGGGGGCUAGCGUUGUUCGGAUUUACUGGGCGUAAAGCGCACGUAGGCGGGUUGUUAAGUCAGGGGUGAAAUCCUGGAGCUCAACUCCAGAACUGCCUUUGAUACUGGCAACCUAGAGGCUGGAAGAGGUUAGUGGAAUUCCCAGUGUAGAGGUGAAAUUCGUAGA